rnacentral:rRNA from 2 species
GGACUACAGGGGUUUCUAAUCCCGUUCGCUCCCCUAGCUUUCGCGCCUCAGCGUCAGAAGAGGUCCAGCACGCCGCUUUCGCCACCGGCGUUCCUUCCGAUAUCAACGCAUUUCACCGCUCCACCGGAAGUUCCGCAUGCCCCUACCUCACUCAAGCCCACCAGUAUCGAAAGCACUUUUCCGGUUAAGCCGAAAGAUUUCACCCCCGACUUGGUGAGCCGCCUACGCGCCCUUUAAGCCCAGUGAUUCCGAACAACGUUUGCACGGUUUGUCUUACCGCGGCUGCUGGCAC